rnacentral:rRNA from 1 species
UAAGGAAUCUUGCGCAAUGGGCGAAAGCCUGACGCAGCGACACCGCGUGAGGGAUGAAGGCCUUCGGGUUGUAAACCUCUGUCAGGGGGAAAGAAACUCCGGUUGGCGAAUAACCGACCGGACUGACGGUACCCCCAAAGGAAGCGCCGGCUAACUCCGUGCCAGCAGCCGCGGUAAGACGGAGGGCGCAAACGUUGUUCGGAAUCACUGGGCGUAAAGGGCGCGUAGGCGGAUCGGUAAGUCAGGGGUGAAAGCCUGGGGCUCAACUCCAGGACUGCCUUUGAAACUGCCGUUCUAGAGUUCAGGAGAGGAAGGCGGAAUUCCAGGUGUAGCGGUGGAAUGCGUAGAUAUCUGGAAGAACACCAGUGGCGAAGGCGGCCUUCUGGACUGACACUGACGCUGAGGCGCGAAAGCUAGGGGAGCAAACAG